UGGGGAAUUUUGGACAAUGGGGGGAAACCCCUGAUCCAGCCAUCCCGCGUGUGCGAUGAAGGCCUUCGGGUUGUAAAGCACUUUUGGCAGGAAAGAAACGUCGCGGGUUAAUACCCCGCGAAACUGACGGUACCUGCAGAAUAAGCACCGGCUAACUACGUGCCAGCAGCCGCGGUAAUACGUAGGGUGCAAGCGUUAAUCGGGAUUACUGGGCGUAAAGCGUGCGCAGGCGGUUCGGAAAGAAAGAUGUGAAAUCCCAGAGCUUAACUUUGGAACUGCAUUUUUAACUACCGGGCUAGAGUGUGUCAGAGGGAGGUGGAAUUCCGCGUGUAGCAGUGAAAUGCGUAGAUAUGCGGAGGAACACCGAUGGCGAAGGCAGCCUCCUGGGAUAACACUGACGCUCAUGCACGAAAGCGUGGGGAGCAAACAGGAUUAGAUACCCUGGUAGUCCACGCCCUAAACGAUGUCAACUAGCUGUUGGGGCCUUCGGGCCUUGGUAGCGCAGCUAACGCGUGAAGUUGACCGCCUGGGGAGUACGGUCGC
rnacentral:rRNA from 1 species